rnacentral:ncRNA from 1 species
AAUGACUAAAUAAUAUAUAUACAAGCCAAAAUAAUAUACUUGAAUAAUUUUGAACGAAGGAAUACGGUUCCAAUUCCGUAACUGUUGAGUAUCCGUUUGUUAUUAAAUAUGGGCCUCGUGCUCAUCCUGGCAACAGGAACGACCAUAAAGAAGCCGUCGAGAGAUAUCGGAAGAGUUUUCUUUUCUGUUUUAUAGCCGUACUACCAUGGAAGUCUUUCGCAGAGAGAUAUGGUAGAUGGGCUAGAAGAGCAUGACAUAUACUGUUGUGUCGAUAUUUUCUCCUCGGACCUUGAAAAUUUAUGGUGGGGACUAGAAUAAUGUAGGUAAGGGAAGUCGGCAAAUUAGAUCCGUAACUUCGGGAUAAGGAUUGGCUCUGAAGAUUGAGAUAGUCGGGCUUGAUUGGGAAACAAUAACAUGGUUUAUGUGCUCGUUCUGGGUAAAUAGAGUGUCUAUCAUUUAUGGUGGUUACUUGUUCCCCGGAUAGUUUAGUUACGUAGCCAAUUGUGGAACUUUCUUGCUAAAAUUUUUAAGAAUACUAAUUGGCUCAAACCGAUUAGUUCUUAUUAAUUAUAACGAUUAUCAAUUAACAAUCAAUUCAGAACUGGCACGGACUUGGGGAAUCCGACUGUCUAAUUAAAACAAAGCAUUGUGAUGGCCCUAGCGGGUGUUGACACAAUGUGAUUUCUGCCCAGUGCUCUGAAUGUCAAAGUGAAGAAAUUCAAGUAAGCGCGGGUCAACGGCGGGAGUAACUAUGACUCUCUUAAUGCCUCGUCAUCUAAUUAUUGACGCGCAUGAAUGGAUUGACGACGGACGUGGUUUUUCGACGCUCUCCAGUAAUACGCGAAUAUCUUUUGACUCAGU